AGAGUUUGAUCCUGGCUCAGGAUGAACGCUGGCGGCGUGCCUAACACAUGCAAGUCGAGCGAGGGUUUGCUCAGUAUUGAGUAUUCUAAAACUAGAAUGUUCAAUUCUGAGCAAAACCAAGCGGCGGACGGGUGAGUAACGCGUGGGUAACCUGCCCUAUACACAUGGAUAACAUACUGAAAAGUUUACUAAUACAUGAUAAUAUAUAUUUGCGGCAUCGCAGAUAUAUCAAAGUGUUAGCGGUAUAGGAUGGACCCGCGUCUGAUUAGCUAGUUGGUGAGAUAACUGCCCACCAAGGCGACGAUCAGUAGCCGACCUGAGAGGGUGAUCGGCCACAUUGGAACUGAGACACGGUCCAAACUCCUACGGGAGGCAGCAGCGGGGAAUAUUGCACAAUGGGCGAAAGCCUGAUGCAGCAACGCCGCGUGUCUGAAGAAGGCCUUCGGGUUGUAAAGGACUUUUGUCCGGGAAGAAAAGCGCGAUGUUAAUACCAUUGCGUGCUGACGGUACCGGAAGAAUAAGCACCGGCUAACUACGUGCCAGCAGCCGCGGUAAUACGUAGGGUGCAAGCGUUAAUCGGAAUUACUGGGCGUAAAGAGUGCGCAGGCGGUUUUGCAAGACCGAUGUGAAAUCCCCGGGCUUAACCUGGGAACUGCAUUGGUGACUGCAAGGCUAGAGUGUGUCAGAGGGAGGUGGAAAUUCCGCAUGUAGCAGUGAAAUGCGUAGAUAUGCGGAGGAACACCGAUGGCGAAGGCAGCCUCCUGGGAUAACACUGACGCUCAUGCACGAAAGCGUGGGGAGCAAACAGGAUUAGAUACCCUGGUAGUCCACGCCCUAAACGAUGUCUACUAGUUGUCGGGGAUUAAUUUCCUUGGUAACGCAGCUAACGCGUGAAGUAGACCGCCUGGGGAGUACGGUCGCAAGAUUAAAACUCAAAGGAAUUGACGGGGACCCGCACAAGCGGUGGAUGAUGUGGAUUAAUUCGAUGCAACGCGAAAAACCUUACCUACGCUUGACAUGUCCGGAACCCUGAAGAGAUUUGGGGGUGCUCGAAAGAGAGCCGGAACACAGGUGCUGCAUGGCUGUCGUCAGCUCGUGUCGUGAGAUGUUGGGUUAAGUCCCGCAACGAGCACAACCCCUGUCCUUUGUUGCCAGCGCGUAAUGGCGGGAACUCAAAGGAGACUGCCGCGGAGAACGCGGAGGAAGGCGGGGAUGACGUCAAGUCAUCAUGCCCCUUAUGUCCUGGGCUACACACGUACUACAAUGGGAUGGACAGAGGGAAGCGAAGGCGCGAGCCGGAGCGGACCCCACAAACCAUCCCCCAGUUCGGAUUGCAGGCUGCAACCCGCCUGCAUGAAGUCGGAAUCGCUAGUAAUCGCAGGUCAGCAUACUGCGGUGAAUACGUUCCCGGGCCUUGUACACACCGCCCGUCACACCACGGAAGUCAUUCACGCCCAAAGCCGGUGGGCCAACCGCAAGGAGGCAGCCGUCUAAGGCGGGGGCGAUGACUGGGGUGAAGUCGUAACAAGGUAACC
rnacentral:rRNA from 1 species